rnacentral:tRNA from 1 species
GUCAAGGUGGCAGAGUUCGGCGACUGCAAAAGACCUAAGCCCUUUUUACAGAGGUUCAAGUCCUCUCCCUGACU